AGUUGUUGCUUGCUUCCAGCCAUGAACUUACUCUGCCUAUGAUGUAUUUUUUUAUCCCGUGUUUAUUUUCUUCAGUUAAGUUAUGAACUUAAACCAAACCUCUGCAUUGGCAAAAUACUAGCACCUUAAUGGACCGUUUCUUCAUUGGUGGCUGGGCACCGCGGCUGGCAUCCUCUCGUGGCAUGGCACAGGUUCAUCAGUCAGGUGGUCAGCACCCAAACUAAAACCAUGAGUCAUGGUGGCCAGGAUGACGUCCAAGAAUUGCAUCCCAGCAGCACAGAUGGGGGAGCCAACAUGAAGAGGUGUCCAGAGAGGCUUCUUUCGCUUGGGCUUUGCAACAGCACCAGGACCUCACCAUCAGUGAUGCUGGUUUCCUCAUCCAUCGGGCCUACUUACAUUCCUCACCUGAUGCACUGAUCACCUGUACCAGCUGUUGGAGUUUUCAGCAGGGCUCUAAAUUAACUUUUUUUCAUCACUAGCCAAAAUGGCUAGUAUGUUAAUCUCCAAACAUACCGGUACAUUACAUAAUGGGUCAAAGUGCCAAGUAUGUUUUCUUUUCUACCGGCCAAACUUAAUUUUCCCCAGCAUUUGGCUGGUGUGCGCCUGGUUGUCAUUGAUAGUGAGUAGUUGUGAUAAUAAAUAACUGAAAUGAUGAAGUCCA